UGGGGAAUAUUGGACAAUGGGCGCAAGCCUGAUCCAGCAAUGCCGCGUGUGUGAAGAAGGCCUUCGGGUUGUAAAGCACUUUUAUCAGGAGCGAAACGCUGUCGGCUAAUACCCGGCGGAACUGACGGUACCUGAGGAAUAAGCACCGGCUAACUUCGUGCCAGCAGCCGCGGUAAUACGAAGGGUGCAAGCGUUAAUCGGAAUUACCGGGCGUAAAGCGUGCGUAGGCGGUUUCUUAAGUCUGCUGUGAAAUCCCCGGGCUCAACCUGGGAAUGGCAGUGGAUACUGGGAGGCUAGAGUGUGUCAGAGGGUGGUGGAAUUCCCGGUGUAGCGGUGAAAUGCGUAGAGAUCGGGAGGAACAUCAGUGGCGAAGGCGGCCACCUGUGACAACACUGACGCUGAGGCACGAAAGCGUGGGGAGCAAACAGGAUUAGAUACCCUGGUAGUCCACGCCCUAAACGAUGCGAACUGGAUGUUGGUCUCAACUCGGAGAUCAGUGUCGAAGCUAACGCGUUAAGUUCGCCGCCUGGGGAGUACGGUCGCAAGACU
rnacentral:rRNA from 1 species